CGUCGGGCCGGAACCGCCGCGCAGGCGCUAGUCAGGCCGCCACGACCGUGCACCGGAGUGCGCCUGCGCGCCUAGGCCGCCUGCACGAGUGCGCCAGGGCUUCUGCCCGCGCCACCGUGGGGCCUGCAGCACGGCUACCGCGCCGCCCAGGGAGGCCGCGGCCAGGCGCCGUCGGGGGGCCGCCGGCCGGGGCCGGGCGCGUGAAGAAGCCGAGGCCGGCUCCAAGGCCGCCGCCGGCUGAAUAUGAGGACCG
rnacentral:lncRNA from 7 species